CCUACGGGAGGCAGCAGUGAGGAAUAUUGGUCAAUGGGCGGGAGCCUGAACCAGCCAAGUCGCGUGAAGGAAGAAGGUACUUAGCAUUGUAAACUUCUUUUGUCGGGGAACAAAGGCGGAGACGCGUCUCCGGAUGAGUGUACCCGAAGAAAAAGCAUCGGCUAACUCCGUGCCAGCAGCCGCGGUAAUACGGAGGAUGCGAGCGUUAUCCGGAUUUAUGGGGUUUAAAGGGUGCGCAGGCGGGAGAUCAAGUCAGCGGGAAAAUGUCGGGGCUCAACCCCGGCCGGCCGUUGAAACUGGUUUUCUAGAGUUGGAGAGAAGUAUGCGGAAUUCGUGGUGUAGCGGUGAAAUGCAUAGAUAUCACGAAGAACGCCGAUUGCGAAGGCAGCAUACCGGCUCCAUACUGACGCUGAGGCACGAAAGCGUGGGGAUCGAACAGGAUUAGAUACCCCAGUAGUC
rnacentral:rRNA from 1 species